UUUUAAUUUUUUUAUUUUUUAUUUUUAUUUUAUUUCAAGACAGGGUUUCUCUGUGUAGCCCUGGCUGUCCUGGAACUCACUUUGUAGACCAUGCUGGCCUUGAACUCAGAAAUCCACCUGCCUCUGCCUCCCAAGUGCUGGGAUUAAAGGCAUGCGCCACCACUGUCCAGCUACACUUACCUUUUUUAAGUUAUCUGCUUGAGUUACUAGGCCAUAUUUAAUUGAGUUGCCUACUAUCAUUGGUGAUUUGUAGAUACUGUUUAUAAAUUCUCAAAAGAAAUUCUUGGUUAGAUAAUUAUCAAUGUUCUGUAUUUACUAAAUAUUGAUUCUUUUUCUGAAGUACUUAUGUCUUGUACUUGAGUUGUUGGAUCAACUAACAUUAUAAUGCUUGCAACAGUCUAGUUUAUGUCCUUAAUUUAGUAAUGGAUGAACUAGAUACUUCACAGAAAAUGAAAAUGACCAGAGCUCUGAAGGAUUAAGAGAGGCUUGGCAAAUUUACUGUUAGAGUAAAAAUAUAUAAAUUGUAUAUUUUAAUUGUUUUGUAUAACAAAUUAAGCUUUUGACACAUUUAUAUAAAAAUUGUAGUUGCAAGACGAUUAUAAGAUUUAUAAUAUCAACAUAGUCUAGAUAGGGAUAAUCCUUCCAUAUAGAAAUAUAUAACCUUAUAUGAACAAGAUAUUAUAUGUGUGUAUAUAUGUAUAUGUGUGAGUGAGUGAGAGUAUGUAUAAAAUUUAUGAACGUGAGGCUCAAGUCAAAUGACUUUCCUGUUUGCUCUCAUGAUAGCUACACAACUAGGUCAUAGUUUGUUCUGCUAUAUCUCCCUUUAGUGAAAAUACAUAUCUAGAUUUGCCAGUAAUUGAUAAUUGAUAGAUAUUCUACAUAUCCUCUCUAUUUAUGUUAGCUGUGUUUCUUAAUUGUGAGGACAAGCAUGUGUACUUCCUUUGUCUUUUAGUAUUCUUUGUAUCAUACUUGUUAAUAUAGAUCCCUGGGGAAUGUUUUAUAUUUUUCAUUUAUCCCUUUAUUACAUGAGAUUUUCAGCAAGGGAAAGGGGAAGUUAAAAGGUUUAUUUUAACUUUGUUAAUGAGAGUGAUGUAAGUAACCAUCUUAUUUUUACAUCCUAUUCUGAAAACAUGCUUUAAAGGAUUAAAUUAAUCCUUCCUACCGUUCACCAUGCAGUAGUACUACAAUCUGAUGAUAGAAACCAUGAUUGUAAAAAUUGACCCAUUCUUUCUAGAGUUCUUUUCUAUUCAUGCAGUGUAGUGAGACUGUUAAUGCUUCUUGUGUUAAGUGUGCCAACAUAAGUGAUCCACACGAAGUCGAAAUGCAUUUGCAAUAGUCAACGACACUUGGAAACCGUGACCUCAGGUCACAGCUAUGUUGGCGUUAACAUACAAGAUAGGUAAAAUCAGCCUAAUGUAUAUCUCUGGAUUGUUUGGGUGAAUUUAAAGUUUAAUAAUUUUUUACAUCUUAAAAAUUAUUUUAUAUUCUAUCAAGGCCAGAAGACAACUUGAAGAGUGGGUUUUCUUCUUCCUCCUUUUGGAUCAAACUCUUGGUUUCAGGUGCUUUUUACCAGCUGAACCCUCAUGCAUAGGGUUCUUGCACAUGUAUCUACACACUGGCCCGCAUGCAAUAAAACUGUUAGCCCUGUAUGUAAAUUAUAUAAGAUAAACCAUACAGCAAUUAUGAAAUUAAAGUAAAAUGAUCCAUACCUAGUAAGCAUAUUGAUACAUGAGAUGUAUUUGCUAUACAUAAUGCAACCUGAAUUUAUGGCGUUACGCUUGGCUAUUGUUCAGUUGCACAUGGUCAAGCAUGAUGUAAGAAUACUAAGUGGAAAAUCAUAGAAAUACAUACAUCGUGAGUUUUAAAUAACCAUACUGUAGUGUGUUGUUACUACAGAAGAAUAUUUGGCAUUAAGAGAGCCAUGAGUAGUAGAAACAAGCCUUAAGUGAAAAUGAGUGUCUAAAUUGUUCAGAGGGAUUAUAAAUGUGUUUAACGUACACCAUUUUAUAUUCUAAUUUUUAUAUUAAUAGUUCUGUUUCUUUAUACUUCAUUUUUAAUCUAGUACUAUACCAUAUUGAUAAACGUUUUAUCAUAAACAUGUAUGUUUAUGAUAAAAGGAAAAAAACAUUUUACAGGGUUUUAUAACUUUAGACAUCUAAAGAGAAUCUUAGAAUAUAUCACAUAUGGAUAAAGGAAAGUAUUCUGUAGAUUUUCACUUGUACUAUUUAAGAGCCUUCUACAAUAUUAGAUGUUAGUUAUUCCAACUGAGUAAAAUUAAUAGAAACAUUGUUAUAGUUUGACUUUCAAAUCAACACAGAUAACAUUAGAAACAUGCAGAAAAUGGAAAAUGAUGAAUCAGGGUAAUCUACCAUGUCCUGUUUUACAAUGCAAAUGUCCUUUGAACACUUAUAUCUGAACCCAGGAAAUAAAAUCAUAUAAGUGCAUAUAUUCAUUGUCUUUGAACCAAAUAAGUUCAGAUUAUAGGGGAUUUUGUUUUUGUUUGGGGGGGUUGGUUUUUUUGGGUUUUGUUUUGUUUUGCCUUUUCAACCUACCUUUCAAACUGUGAACCCAAGAACUAAAAAGAUUGUAGUUGAAAAAUGAUCAUGAUACUCACACUAGGAUUUAUAUUAUUGAUAUCACAUAGUCUUACCUUAAGAGAUAAGCUUAUGUUGGAAGUCUCUCACUAUUCCUGGCUUGCUUUUUCUCUUUUUGUUUUUCCUUCUCUGUAGAAAUACAGUUAGGUUGAAUCCUAUUUAAAUUUGGAGAUCUUAAAGUUUUGUCCAGUAAAGUCAAGCAUAAUCAUGUAUGCCUGUAAUCUUAGCACUUCUGAGGUUAAGUAAGAAGGAUUCGUAGUUCAAGGUCAUCCUUGGCUGCAUAAGGAGUUUGAGGUUAACUUCAACUACAUGAGACCCUAUUCCAAAAUUAUCUAUAGAUAUGUGUUCAUAUUCUUAUAGAGUACAUGUAUGUGUAUGUGUACAUACAAGUACGUACAUAAAUAUAUGUAUUCCUACAUUCCCCUGCCUUUUUGUUUUGUAUAACUGACAAAUGAUCUUGUAUAGGUGUCUGGUUAUUUUGCACUAUACUCCCUGAUAUGUAUGUGUGUGUGUGUCUGUCUGUCUGUCUGUCUGUAUACACUCAUACAUAUAUUUACAUACACACACACAUACAAAAUCAGUCAGUCAGAAGUCAUGAAUGGCCAGGCUUCUCAGCUCUUACUGUCAUGUCUUUGUUUUAAAAUAUAGAGGUAGGGAGAUAGCUUAAUCAGUGCCUACCAUGUAAAGGUUAGUACCUGAGUUUAGAUCUUUAGUAUGCAUAGGAAAGCUGGGUGUGGUAGCCAUGGAGAUGUUCAGACAAGAAGAUCCCUGGAGCUCAGUGGUCAGUAAGCCUAGUCAAAUGAAUGAACUCCAGGUUUAGUU
rnacentral:lncRNA from 1 species